rnacentral:rRNA from 1 species
UACGUAGGGUGCAGGCGUUAAUCGGAAUUACUGGGCGUAAAGCGUGCGCAGGCGGUUUGCUAAGACAGGUGUGAAAUCCCCGGCUUAACCUGGGAACUGCGCUUGUUACUGGCAGGCUUGAGUGUGGCAGGAGGGGGGUGGAAUUCCACGUGUAGCAGUGAAAUGCGUAGAGAUGUGGAGGAACACCGAUGGCGAAGGCAGCCCCCUGGGCUAACACUGACGCUCAUGCACGAAAGCGUGGGGAGCAAACAGG